AAAAAAAAAAAAACUAAACGUGUAGAGUUAUCCCAGAAAAAUGCAUUCUGGGUUCUUCAUUUCUUUGGUUUGCUCAUUUUGUUAGAGUUGUCCUUGAUCUAUAGUGGUGCUUCUAGAUUUGGAUUUUGCAGAUUGGGAAAACAGGUCGGUUGUUUUUGAGUUUUUUUUUUUCUUUGGGUGAUUGGUUUGAUUGAGUAAUUGAUUUGUGUAAUGUGUUGGGUUUGGUUUGUGGGGAAAAGGGGUUUUAGGGAUUUGGAUUUUGAUUGUGGGUUUUUGAGUUUGGUUUUAGGUGUUGAAUUUGAAGCAAUGGGGACCAAGAUUUGCAUGAACCUGUUUCGGUAAGAAUUUCGGUCCCCUUUUUGCAGUUUCAAAGAUUUGUAUUUUUUUUCAGCUGAAGUUUUGAUUUUUAAGGUGUUUUGGAUAUAGUGUUGGGAGGGCAAUAUGAGAUGUGGGUUGUGGUUCUUAACGUUGGGUUUUAUAUGUUUUUGAUUAAAGUUUUGAUCUUUACUUUUUGGGGGGUUUUUGGGUUUGGACCAAUUGCAUUUGUUCAUGAGCUAGCUGCUGGUUUAAUUGUGUGAGUGUGUUGAUAGUUGCAUCGAUGAUCGAGUCUGUGGAUUAUGAUUAAAAUCCUCUUUGCAUUAGUGAAAUUGAUACCAAUUUUGUGAUUUGAACAAUGUAAAUGGCAAAUGCAGAACCUUUAAAUGAUAAACACGGGCUCAUAUUCUACCAGCUGAAUCUUGGUAAUGGAGUUGGCAGGGUCUUGUGUUGAUUUCAAGUGAAUUGCUGAUUUCAGUGUUUCUUCUGCUCAGGGUAAUUGGUUUUCAAUUUGUUUCUUCUCUUUUGUCUACGGUAUAUCUUCUUUCUCUGCUUACUUUGGUUUUCGGGGACAGCUAAGGGAGGAGGAGAGAAAGAGAAGGACCGUGUGAUUCUGAUUUAGGGGUAGCAUUCGAUCUUCAUUACAUUUGAAAUGGGGGAUUGGCGGUGCAUGCUGCUUUUGUCUGGUGAAAAUGAAUUAGGUGAAACACGCUAAUGUCUAUAUAUGAAUUAUUUGGCAGAAGAAAUGAAAAGGACAAAAAAAAAACUCAUGUAGAGUCAUCCCAGGAAAGUGCAUUCUGGGUUCUUCCUUUCUUUGGUUUCCUCAUCAUUUUGUUGGAUUAAAGACUUUUUAUUUUUUAUUUUUCCGUUGUGAAUUUGUCCAGUUUUAUAGAAUCUCAUCCAGUUGUCCUUGAUCUAUAGUGGUGCUUCUAAGAAUAAUAAGUCCAUUAGAUGGUAUUUAGAUAGUUAGGUUGUCUUCAGUGUUUGAAUGACCCUUUUCUAGAUUUUGGUUUUGCAGAUUGGGAAAACAGGUUGGUUGUUUUUGAGGGUUUUUUUUUUUUUUGGGUGCUUGUGUUUGAUUGAGUAAUUGAUUGGUGUAAUGUGUUGGGUUUGAUUUGUGGGGAAAAGGGGUUUUAGGGAUUUGGAUUUUGAUUGUGGGUUUUUGAGUUUGGUUUUAGAUGUUGAAUUUGAAGCAAUGGAACUGGACUCUGGGACGGUUAUGUUGAUAAAAUUGAAUGCCUGAAAUGUCCUUUUCAGUUGUCUCAGUGAAGAAUUCUACAGAGGAUGUUGGUCUUGCAUCUUUCAGCAGAUCCAAUGCAGACGAAUCUUUUAGAAUCUCUGAAAGUUCACCUGAAAGUUAACCCGCGAAGCAAUGUUUUGUCAUAACUCUAUUGAGGGGGUCAGUUUUGGUUCUAAAUUCUCCGAUGCUGCACAUGAAACCUCAGCACAUAGCUUGGAGUGUCAGCUAGACUCAACUGCUUGGGAUGGCUUUGCUGAUGAAACUGAGUGUGAUUCUGCUGGUUCAAGUACAAGAUCCGAGAUGGUCUACUCAGUUGUAUCCGGGGAUACUUCUAUAGAAAAUUGGUGUGACAUCCUUCGGCUGCUCCUAUGCUAAACCACUUGGGCUCUCUGAAGAUUCAUCUCAUAAGUUAUCCAGGGAAGCAAUGCUAUGUCAUAACUCUAUUGAGGUGGCUGGUUGUGUUUGUGGCACUUCAGCACAUGGUCUAGAGUUUGAAUUCCAGCUAUGCUCACCGAUUGGAGUUCAGCACAUGUUCUUGGGAUGAGUUUGCUGAUGCUAAUCAAUGUGUUUCUGGUCCAUCAAAAGCUACUUCUGAAGUAGUCUGUUCAUUUGCUUCUGGAGAAAAUGCUGCAGCGGAAAUUGGAGUUCCGUCCUUCAGUGGUUCCAGUGCAAAUAAAUUUGACUGAAAAUCCACCUCAAAUGUUAUCUUAGGAAGCUACUUUUAGUCAUAGUUCUGGUAGGAAGGCCGGAUGUGUUUCUGAUAGCUCUGAUGGAUCCUCAUUGUCAACUCCAGCCCUGUGUCCAGUAAGACUAAGGACACAGAAGGUCUACUUUCUUCAUUCAGCAGUGUCCUAUCAGUUGGUCAGUAUUUCUUCCCCUAACGAGUUCUUGGUUUCUUACAUAUGUAUAUUUUGUUCAAUUGCACAAUGGGUAUUAAUUAACUCAUAUUUUACAGCAGAAGGCACUUCAAGAAUUACGGAGACCAUGCCUCUCACACUACUUGUGGAAAACAGCACGUCAAGAUCUGUGAGUCCGUUCAACAUGAGGCUGCAAUAACCUCUUCAGAUACUGGUAUGCAAUUAAAUGUACAUGUGUUACUUACAUUUGUUUCCUCUGUCCUCUCUCACCCCUUAGACACCAACACCCAAACUCUGUUUCCUUUCUUCAACUUUGGCGUUAGUAACAACAAUUGUGGUGUGACAACUAAUUCUGUUUCAAUCUUGCUAAGCCUAGGUUUUGUAGUUUAAUAAAAAGGUUGUGGUCCAUAAAUCCAUUUUGCCUUUUGGCUUUAGACUAUAAGAGUAUGUUCCAGCAACUCCCCAAUUUUAGUCCUCCUUUGGCUUGUACUUCAAGCUGUCACCUACCUUAAGGAGGCCUAGAUGCCAAAGAUGCCAAAGAUGUAAGAACUGCAUCGCCCCAGUCAGUCCUUUUAUCUUUUGUUCUGCACCUUCAUCUUGUCUUCGAGUAUAACCAUAUGUAAUCAAAGAUCUCAAAUGGCAUCAGAAGCAAAUACAAAAAGGAACCAAAGAUCUGGACUAGAUAAUAGAAAAGCAAGAAAUAUUAAAUUCCCGAAUGACUUGGUUUGUAGACCAUGUUUCAUAUCAAAGAAUUCAAAAAUUCUAUCAUGCACAACCAAACUGUAGAUAACUAGAUCUAAGAGAUGAGAGGAAACUACACAGAAAUGAUUUUAAGAUUACUCAUUCAGUUGUCAAUUGAAAAUUUCAUUGCCAUUUCCUACAGGUCAGAAUGCAAAAUGUAGGACACAUGCCACUUGUUCAUUGGUAGCCAAAAUCUUGAGCCUACGGACUACACUUUGUUUUCUAACUUUCUGUUUGGCUCCAAGAGAAAAAGAGGCAACAGAUAAAACAGACCAACCCUAUAUGUUUCUAUUGAAGAAAGGAUGUUUAUAAAUACAAGCAACUGCUAGGGCAUUUCAAUCAAAGACAUCUUUUUCAAAUCCCUGGAUUUUAACGUGAGUCAUAACAAGAGGGAGUAGCAAUUGUAAGCGGCUAGCAAAAAGGAUUAACUUUAUGGCUUCACAGUUGUGUGCUCCUUGGGCUACUUUUGCAUACUGGAAACUGAGCCAACUAUUUUAAACCAGAAAUAUUCCUUGUAUUUGUUUUUUAUUUUUAUUUUUUAUUUUUAUGUUUUAGAUGUUACCUAUUCUCUAAUCUUGUAAACCGUUUGCAGGACGUUUGGAUGAAUCAAGUUCUGAUAUUGCUUACUGUCACAUGGAAAACAUUGACUUGCAUGAUAAGGUGCAGAUUCAGGAAAACUGUGUAAAUGUAGAGGAUAGUGUACUUAGUGCUAUUUCUCACAGAAUAAGAAAGCAAAGAUCAUACAAGGUAUACUCCACCUCUCCUUUGUUGAUGUUAUAAUUAGUUAAAGGAAAUGCAAUUUAGAAGUAGAACACAGCACACAUCAUUUCACAUUGGCAUUUGAAUUACUUGAUAAUAUGCUCCUGUAUUCUUUUUGAAGAAUUGCAUAUUAAUUGGGAAUUCGUCAUAGGAUUGGACAAGUCACAUAACAGAAAUGUCAUAAGAACCAAUGGCUUAUCCAACAAAAAUUUCAAGUUCUGUUGAAGAAAGAAAAUUAAGCUUGUGGUUUCUAGCAAGAUGAGAUUUACUAAUACCAUGUUAAAGUCAAUUACAGAAACAAAUCCAGGAUGCUUUUUCAUCAAAGAAGAGGUUGGUGAAGGAGUACGAACAGCUAGCGAUUUGGUUUGGAGAUGUUGGUUUAGAUUCCAGCCAAGAAGCAAACUCUUACAAGGACAAUUCGGGAACUCAUCAGGCAGGUGACUCUGAGUGGGAGCUUCUCUAAGCAAUAUAAUUUGUGUAUGUAAUUAAAUGAAAUUGGCGAUUGGACGGGUUACAAGGCUGCCAACCAAGAUUUGCAUGAACGUUUCGUGUGGGACGAGUAAUAUGCAUGAAUAGAGGAAUAGCUGGCCUUAGCGCUCUGGUGAAUUUGCCCAUCUCUGCUACAAGUGUGGAUAAGAAUUUCAGUCCCCUUUUUGUAGUUUCAAAGUUUUUAUUUUCUGCUGAAGUUUUGAUUUUUAAGGUGUUUUGGGUUUGAUAUAGUGUUGGGAGGGCAUUAUGGGAUGUGUUUUGGUUCUUAACGUUAGGUUUUAUGUGUUUUUUGAUUAAAGUUUUGAUCUUUACUUUUUGGGGGGGUUUUCGGGUUUGGACCAAUUGCAUUUGUUCAUGAGCUAGCUGCUGGUUUAAUGUCCAGGUAAGCUUCUGCUUUGGUUGAUUGGUCGAACUUUGGUGUGUGCAGUUCUUUUUUUUUCAGGGUUUCUUAUGCGUACCUAAAUUUAGCUCAGAGUCUGAUCAUGUAUUUGCAGGUGGGGUUUUUGGGAUUCAAGGAAGACUUGGAUAAGGAACAGGAGUCGAAUCUGGAGCUGUAGUCAUGCUUUGACUACUCUACAGGUAAAGACUUGAGCUAUUAUUUCAUGGGUAUGUAAUUGUUUUAUAUGCAAAACAAACCAAAGGCUAUCAUUGUUGAAAGACAAGUGAUCAAUCUAUUCUGAUAGUGAGAUAUGAGCACAAUUAGUAUGGCAGUCAAAGUGUGAGACACGUACGUAUUUAUAUAUAGAUUUAUAUACAUAUGUAUCUUUGUUAUAGAUAUAUUCCUGGGAGUGCAGGAGUAGAAUUGCUUCUGUACAUGAAGAAAUUAAAACUACUGCAAGUACAUCAAAAUAAAAAUAAAAAGGAACAGGAAAAGAAAACGAAAACGAAGAAGAUAAAUAAUAACAAAUUAUAUACCAGAAUUGAAAUAGAAUGCAUUACAUGGUGUCCCUUCAUAUGCAUUUUUCUGAUGUCUUCUUUAGUUAUUGUUUUUUAUGUUUAGUUGGUUAAUGUCAAUUUCUUUCUUCAGAGGCUGGAAGAAGAGGAGAGGAGAGGCAGAAUGUAAGCAGCUGCAAAUGAGAUCUAACAAGGUUAGUUUCUUUCAACUUUCAAGUAUAUUUUCAAUGGCUAUUUGCUUCUUGACCACUGCAGAUUUAUAAAUACUACAGGGCCACCAAUGUGAUUUGAAAACUUAAUUUAUGAUUCAGUCCUUCCAUCUUUUCUAUCACUUUUAGAUUUAAUGCAUCCUUUUUAUCAUGGACAGUUUUAGGUGCUUUAGUCUAUGUAGAUACUCAAUGCCUAUUAUCUUAGUAUCUUAAUCCUCAUUUCUAAAAUCUAGCAAUUUCCUUAAUAUUGUACUUUGCUAACCGGAGAAUUGGAGUUUAGAUAAGGGAAUUUUUUUUUUUUUUUUUCACUCUGUAAAUUUUCAGUUUGAUUGUGAUUUUCUAAAUUUGAUGCAAAUUUUGUGCUUUCAGAGCCAUUAAUGGAGUAUUAGAGCUCAGUUGCGUAAGGUAAGCUGCAACAUUGGAAUACUUGCUAGGGAGGUUAGAGCAGUAUGAGUAGGAUAUGGAGGAAUAUCAUCUAAAAAGAUUUUUGGACUUGCAUUUUGAGGUAAGAUUUCUUCUUCCAUCCUAUAGUGUUUUUGCAUUAUUGUUUUUGUUUCAUUGCAUUUAUGGGCUUCAAAAACUGUUCCGACCUUUCUCAUAUUGAUGCAUGUAUAUUGCAAAUGUAGCAUUGAAUCUACUGUACUUUAGGUAUAAAAUGCUUAGAAAUUUAUCCUAAGCCAAAAUCCAAAUGGAAAAUUUGAAAAUCAUGCGAUUUUGCUUUUCAAAUUCAAGUUUAAGAACUGAGAGUUAAUAUCCAGUUACAUCAUCGAAAAAAAAUCCAGUUCGUAAAAAAAGUUUGAGAUGCAAGGAACUGGUACGCUGUUGUGUUCCAUAUAUUCCAGUUUCAACAGUACCAAUAUUUCCGCAAUGAAACAUAUGUUCAAGGGAUAGGUUACGCAACGAUAUGGGGCAAUUGAUGUGGAGCAUAGUUGUGUUUUUAGUUCCUAUUUUCAAUGCUAAAAUAUGCUUUUGGAUAUGCAGGUUCAUUCAUCAAUACGUGGUGGAAGAACAAUUCUUUUAUAGGUAAAUUUGACAAUCUCCAUAGGUGCUUAGUCAUUUUUUGGGAUAAGUAAAAAGGUUCCAGAUUGGGUGUAUGAAACACUAUCAUAUCUGGAUUACUGAUUUGCACUUGCUAGAGUUGUUAAGACACAGAGCUGGCUUUCAAUAUCGGUUAAAUGUACUUGGGCUAAGUUGAAUUUUCUGCAUCCCAUAUGGCUUUUUAUGUCAGGCACCAAACCACAUCUUGUGUUGGGCUCAAGCACAUAUAGAAACGGCCAUAAACUGCCCCUGCCCUUAUGUAAAUUAUAUAUUCUUAUUGUUUCAGUCUUAACCAACAAUUGCUGAAAUCAUAUGUAAUUUCAGUUUUCUGUAUUUCUCUCUGAAAUUUCUGUAUAUUGCUAACUCUCCAAUACACCUACCAAAAACCCCACCACAGCAAUGGGCGGAUGCUUUUCUAGUUAUGUAAUACAUGUAUGCUUCCUGAUUUGGUUUCCUGUUAAAUUCUUUGUUGGUGACAUCGGACUAUGUAAUGCAGAGCCGCAUAUGAGAAGUCAGUUUUCUGCGAUAUGUUUCAUUUAGGGGAAACGGGUUGGAGGGACUGCAGUUUGUGCCACAAGGUCACUGGCAUUUUGAUCAUUUUUUUUUUUUUUUGAAAUUCCACCUCCCCUUCUCUCUUUAUUGAUUUAUUUCUUUAAUUUUCUGCAGCCUCUCCACUGUGGAUGCGUAGCCUCUAGGUCUUUAUAUGAGUGCCUGGAUUACGGGGGUGUAGGGUGCAUUGGCUGUGCAAACCGUUCUCAACCUCGUGUGGUAUGAACAAUUACUAUUUUGAUAUCCACUGAAUUAUAAAUUUUGUUUAAACCCCCGCUAUAGCUUCCAUAAUUGAUAUAUAGCUUUUGUUUCUCUGAUGAAUAUGUAAUCAGUUGUUUGUUGUCAGUUACAAUCUAUAUCUCUCUCACACACAAAACCUGCACUUACAAACUGAGACCGGAUACAUGAUGCUUAUGGGUCUUGUUUUGUUGUGUGCAGUUCCUAAGGAAUGAUGUCUAAGCAUUGGCCUUUUGUUUUAUUCAUUUGGUUAUUGUUGUGUUUACUUAUGUCAUCUUGAAGAUGAGAUCUUUAUUUGUUUUUAUGUGCUAAAGAUUUGAGCUUUAGUAUCACAAUUUGACCAUUUCUAAUUCUGUAUAGGCUAGGCAAAACGUGCUUGAUGAUUUGCAGUUGACGCUUUCAGGGUGUGUUGAACUUAAUUUUAGCCGGAACUUGCCUGCAGAGUAGAGAACAUUGUGUGUGCUCUGGAUCCUGGCUGCAAGGAGCAGCUGCCACAGUUACCACCAAAAAUACGGUGAAAGGUCAUAGUAUUGAUUUAGUCUUGGAGAGUGAGUGACUUAAAUGUUAUUUACUGCAUCUUAUGGCUGCUACCUUUUUCUGAUUGUUAUUGUCGCCUGCAUGAAACUUGUUCUAUUUCAGGGUAUUCAAGCGUGCAUCACGAAUAAAUGCAAACAGGCUUGAUCUUGGUGGGAGAUUUAGAGUGGCAAAGGGGGAUGCUGGGUGUAAAGAGUCUGUCUACUGGUGAAACAAGGGAUCAAACUUGGUGGUUGUACUGUUUUCUUUUUAGGUAGGCUCAGUUCAUUAUUCUCCCCCAAUCUGUCAUAGUUUUCAGUGAAAAUAUUAAUGAAAAUGGCUGAUUUUUGUACUGUUGGUUUUAAUAAAGUUUGUUGCUUGUUUUGUAUGGGCAUGUUCCUUUUGUGCGACACCUAAGAAUUUACCCAGACCAAGCUUAUAUGCACUGGGAAGUGUUUCAAUAUAUGAACACAUGAGCACAAACAAAUUAGAUUUUUACCGCUUGCUUUAGAUCAGUAGUUGGUUAAGAAAUGUGCAGAGACCACUUUCCAUUAAUGUGAAAGAAUUAUUGUUACUGGCUUCCCUUGGAGUGUAGACUCUAUGAAAUGAUAAUUGAAAUGUUAGUGGGAUUAUUGUUCUCACCUCUUUCCAUUUUCACUCCCCUCCCCCUCACAGAAAGGCUGUUUCUGAACCACAGUUUCACAUUCAUUAUGCCGUCCCCAAAAUCUGGAAAUUGUACUCCGAUUUGAUUGCACCGGUCGCUAGACUUUUCAGUGCUAUGUGUUGGUUUUGGUCGGCCGAUUAUUGAAUUGAACUUCCAUACACAGCUUUAUGAGAUGGUUCUCGUCCUCUUCCUUUACUUCAUUGGCUUCUAACACAAAGUUACUCCCCUUGACCACUUUCCACUCUCUACAAGCUGGAAGUAGAUCAUCUUUCGCCUCAAAAUCUUAGUUCUAUUCUUACCCGUUAGGCCAAGAUAAGAUUUCAAAUCCUAUUAAGGUCUGAUAAUUUGGAAUGCGUCUUUCUUUUCAUAUGACUGAUGAGUGAUGACAUCAGAAAACCCCAGUCUAGAUUAAGUACUUUUCUUUUUACACGAAAUGCUGUGGACAUUUCUAUCAAUCAUUGUAAGUUAGUAAAAUGUUGUAAGCCUUCAGAUAUAGCUCUACAUUUGAAUGAUUCAUGAAUCUCUGACAAUAAGUAAUUUCCCAUUCCAUUCUAUACUUGACCAAGAUGGAAUUUCACUGUGAGAAUUGGUCAAAAACAAGGACCUACCAAGGUUAUACAGGUCAAACUUUUAUAAGUAUUAGUCAUAUACUUCCACAGGCUCAACCUAGUCCUCGAAUAUCUGAUUCCUUUCAAUAUCUGUAUCACGUUCGGUUAGGAAACUUAAAGUGUGCUGCCUUGUCUCAUUCUUGCUUUUACAUCGUUGCAACUGUUCCCGCAGGCUACUGACAACCUCAUUGAGUCUCUUAAUGUUCUUUUCUUGCAAUAAUAUGAUCUGCAACAAGAAAAUGAAAAUUUCAGGCACUGAAAAACCUCACAAGUCAUAAAAGAUCUACUGAUAUAUGUAUUGUAAAUUCACUGAAAAGACAACUGAACUCUAUGGCGUCUAAGCCUUGGUUUUAGGAUUCAAGCCAUGGUUUUAUAGGCUAAUCCAACAUAAAGUUAGUCAUAAGACUUGUGACUCAUGAGCAAUCUCUGAAAUCAGAUCUAUAAAUAUACUUAAAUGCAUAGGAAGUCUCACUAUAACAAAAGAAAAUAGAAAAGAGGAGAUAAGCCCAGCCAAUGGGUUUUUGAAAAUUUUACAUAAGAGGAUACCAUAACUUUUCCGGCAAAAAGAAAAGGAGUUUAACCAAACUUCCUCUGUUUGCUCUUGUUCUACUUCUAUAGUUUUGAGAGCUUAUAUUUUUAUCUCCCUCCAUUCUUUCAUUUCGUAGUAUGCUGCUCCUGUUCUAAACUAGGAGGGACUUCAGCCUUCCAAAUUACAAAAUAGGGAAUAAAUUGUGGAAGAGAACUAGGGUUGUAGGUAAACUUCGUUGAGUAGGAUUUACAGGAAAUCUGCCUGAAGCCUCAACAACUGCCAUCUCGUAUGUCCUCGAGCCGAGAAAAGCAUGAAGGCUCCCUAACUUCCAAGUUUUUGAAGUUCCUUCUAAACCAAAAAAUCACAAUUUCAAGGAAGAAUAGAACAUUAAGUACACGUCCUAGCAGAUAUGAAUGGCAAAAGGCUGUUUCCGAACCCAUCCCUCUCUUCCAAAAACCCUUUUAUCCUCUGUCCAUUUCACAACGAAAUGUCAACAUAUUGAAAAUGAACUAGGUCAUGGGGAGAAAGCUGUCCAGGGGGUUCAGCUUGAACCACUGAUCACAAUAUUGGGAUCCAGCCAUUAGCAUGCAUCACAUAAUUAUUUCUGAGUGAGUGCCACAUAAUUAAUUCUUUCUCACUGACAUCUCCAUAACCACUUCAGAAGAAGAGCUUCGUUCCUCUUCACCACUUUUCCCCACCAUCCCCAAACCCCUUUCUCCUUUACUUGAGAAUCACCCCCCAAUCAAUUUAGCUAUCCCUUCUUCCUUCCUCUUUUGAUUCCACAUUCCACAUUCCACAUUCCCCAUUCCCCAUCCCCAAAUCUCCUCUCUUCUUUAUUUUUGAGAAACUACCUCCCAAAUUAUUAAAAGAUACCAUCUUCCUUCCACCCCUAACCACCAAAAAACAAAGUGGUUCAGUAAUCUAUCUAACAUUUAAGCCACAUCGCUUGAAAUUAAAGUUAAUCGUUGCAAACUACUAGGAACAGAUUGGAGACUGAAGUUACAGGAGUGUUUCUAGAGCCUUCUAACUAUCUUCCCCGUUCUCCACCUCCGGAUCCCAAAAGCACCUCCAAAAGGCAGCCCCAAUUUCAUAGUAGGCCAAUUUCCCAAACCAAUCCCAAAAUAUAUUUUAGCUCUUCCACUCUCACCUCUUGCAGAGUAAUUAACAAUUUCAUAUAUUAAGUUUCUUCCCAUAGAAGACACACAAAGAUUCACACAUUCGGUAAACUACACAAAUUCUGAUCAGCACUGAAAGAAAAAGAUGGCAUCAUUGGCAAACUAUAUGUGAGAGAUCCCCACUCCUUGCCUUCCUACUUUCAGUGCUUCUAUCAGUUGCAUGUCCCAUGGUCUUUUAACCAAUCCACUCACAACAACCACCAAAAUAUAUACAAAAGGCCACGUCAAGAAACUUCAUAGAAAAUACAGGUUCAAUAUUUUAAUUCCUUUGCGACUGCUCAUACUCAUGCUUACAGUAAAGGAAAGUGUCAAGUAUAUGGGAUUGGAAACUAAGCACAGUCCUAAUUUAGGAUUGAAAACGAAUAUCAACGCACCAGAAAUCCUAGCUCCUAGGUAUCAUACAAAGCAACGCAGUGGAACCAAUCUGAAGUACCACAACAGACUGAAGCACAAGCAUGCCAAUGGCCACCUGCACUCUGCUCACAAGGUCCAUCCCUAUGCUACAUGCCAAGAUAAAUUUGGAGCAAAUGAAAACAAAAACCUUGUCUGUCAUGCCUUGUUUUGCAUGUCUAGCAUUAAUAGCUUGUAUUAGUUUAAAUAUGUGUUUUCGUUUGUAAUCAACAAUCUACUUCAAUCAAACAAUUCCAUUUCUCUUCAGAAAGUACCCCCAUGAAGACUUCACUGCCUAACGGGAAUCUUUUAUAAUUAAGUAUCACUAUGCAUGAAAGAACAAUCUAUGUACAGCACAAAUAAACCUAGAGUGUUCUUUUUCUGUUCUUUUUUUUUUUUGUCUCACAGGUGAUUCUGUGUUUGGAAAUUAACACCAGAGAAAUAGAAGUUGCCGCUGAUAUUAGAUCUCCCAUACAGUCAAGAGGAAUACAAAGUGGUUUCUUGUUUUUCUUCGGAGGAAAAUCGUAUAUCUUUGGUGUCAAUUAAUAUGCACGAGCUCUAGCACCUAGGUUUAUUUUAAAAAAAAAAACAUAAAAAAGAAAACGAAAUUCAUCACGAAAAAUGAAAAAGACAUUGCACCAUAAGCAUUAACAUUUCCAAACCAAACUUUAUCAAAAUAUUAAUGCAAAACAAUACUUAUUACCUUCUCUUUUACAGCUUCUUCCCUCUUUGAGCUCUCACUUGGCUUUUGCGAGAUACUUGGAGUUGCAUCAAGGUCAGGGACAAGUUGUUGCUUCCACUCAAACUGGGAAGUGAUUAUGAGAACAACUAGAAGAAAAACUAGCAACACCGGUCUUGACAUCAUUCACAGUCAAAAAACCUGUUUCAAAUACAAGGGAAACAAAACAAGCAUCAAAUAUCAGAGUUGGAAACUUGGAAUUCACUAUAUCCCUCCUUUCUAACAAAAAUCUUCAGUCGAAACAAAUUUGAUCAAAGAAACACAAGUUACAUCCUAUACUCCAUUACAUAUGUUGUUCUAGUUUCUAGUCUUGGAAAAGAUGCAGAAACCAAACUUAAAGCUCCAUUUAUCUUACUAUUUCAUUUCGUUCUUUUUGCGUGCGGCAUUGCAAUGUGUUUUUCUUCUUCCGAAGAAGAGAGAUACUGGAAGACCCAAAAGAGAUUCUAAUAUACAAAGCAGUAGAACCCCGCCAAGUCUGGACUACCUAGUUGUUGAAUCACCUAUGAGUGAAGGAUCAACGAGUAAAUGCAGAGGUAUCGAUGAAGCUGAAGGAAAUGUUUUCCAGUGAACUUCCUUCUCUUAGAAUUUUAACUUCAAGUUACCACAAAAUCAAGAACGAUUUCUGUGUUCCAGUAUUAAACAAAAAGACUAAAGAGCUAAAAAAAAUCAAGAAAUGCCCCAUGCUUUUUAAAAAACUGAAAUUAUUGUGGAAAAAAAAUUGCUUGUAUUGAAAUUGCGAAAAAAGAGAAAGAAAAAAGGAAAGUAGAACAAGGUGGAGAAGGAGUCUGAGAUAUGGAAGACAAUUAGAGAUUUGGCUGAUUUUGCAAGGAAGGUUACACAAAAACAAUGAUGAUUUGAAGUAUGUAAUAAAACUCCUGUUGGAGUUAUUCCACACAUUAAGCAGUGUCUGAGUCUGCAAUCAAACAAGAAUAGAAGAACAACUCCACCUUGGGAUUAUGAAUGAAAAGAGAGAUUCAAUUAGACUAUGACUAGCUCAAUCUCAUGAUUCUCAUCUGAAAUGGUAAUCCCAUAUUAGGUGCAGAUAAAUUCGAAACAAUACAAUUAGCCAAAUGAUCGAAACGGUAAAUUGCAUUUGAUAUUAUUCACAGAAAACAAGUAAAAUUCAAGAACCGGAAAUGAACUUACAGAUUGGCGUCGGCAACAAGACUACAAGAGCAUGGAGUUGCUUCGAACUGGGUAUUGUUGCUUUGGAAAGCUUCUGCAAUUUUCAAGUUUUGCUUCCAGACAAGGGAUUCCACUCUUGGUUGUUUCUACUCUUACAAAAUUUUACUUUAAGGGACUUUAGUUACCGUGGGUAAAUAAUAUCAUUCACAACCCUAACGAUACCGCAUUCGAUUUUUUUUUAAUUUUUUUCUUUCGAUUACCUCUAAUUAACAACGUCUAGUAUAAGAACGGCAUUCGAACAUUGAGUCAAAAUCCUAGAAGUGUGUAUGAAUUGUUGUCAGUGAGUUGUUACAUGUUUGUUGAUAACUUUGUAAGUCUAGGAGGACCGUGAUUGAAGAGUAGAGUUGAAAUAUUAUAGUAACAGUAAUGUUCACAUUGUCACCUAGUGACUAAAGAAAUUAUGGUCAAUCAUCGUUAAAGUAAAUCUAAACGUGAGAAGUAUCAUUUUAAAGGGAAAAUGCCUAUUUAGUAUUAAUUCAAACCCCUUAUUUCUCAUUCUAAUGAUAAUCUUUUGCAUUAGCCCAUUCCAAUAUAAGGUAACCAUUUUUAUGCCCAAAUGCACAAAUCUUUACUAAAAUCUUAACAAACCAUAUUAUUUUAAGACUAUUUUGCCCCCACCUCUUCAACAUGAAAAGACUUGGCCGGAACCUCGGACUCCUGUCACCGGCCGCCGGACACCGGACUCCGGUCACCGACCGCCGGAUUCCGGUCACCGGAAUUUCCCCAACCGCCGGAUUCCGGUCACUGAAAUUUCCCCAACCGCCGGAUUUCGGUCACCGGAUUUUCCUCUGUAACCAGUUACUGACCCCCAAUAAUCAGUUACUGACCAGUUAAUGACCCAUAAUAACUAGUUACUAACCCCCAGUAACCAGUUACUGACCCCCAAUAACUUUUAGUUUUCAGUUACUGACACCCAGUAAUCACUUAGUUUUCAGUUACUGACCCCUAAUAAUUUUGGUUACUGACCGGAGAGGAGAGAACUGAGGAACCGGCCCGACGGUGAGCACCCACAUUUCUUCUCUGGGCACCCACCUUCCCCGACGGUGAGCACACCGGCCUCCUCCACCGACCCCGGCGCACGCCGGCAAGCAACGACCUUCCAGGGGAGUAGGAGAAGCGGUGAGGCAGCUUAGAGUUGGUUUCCAGGGCUGUGCGGUUGCGGGUGAUUUUGCGGAAGCAGACGAGGAGGAAGAGGAGGAGGGAGAAGGCGGUGGUGGCGGCGCCGGCGAGUGGGACGACGAGGUUGGGCUGCGGCAGAAGAGACGACGGCGACGGCGCCGGGGACCGGGUGAUUGGGCGCUGCAGAAGGUGGAUCGGGAAGAGAAGGUGGCCGGAGUUGCGGAAGCAUUCGAGGAGGAAGAAGAGGAGGGAGAAGGCGGUGGUGGCAGCGCUGGCGAGUGGGACGACGAGGUUGGGCUGCGACAGAAGAGACGACGGAGACGACGCCAGGGACCGGGUGAUUAGGCGCGGUAGAAGGUGGAUCGGGAAGAGAAGGUGGUCGGAGGAGAUGAAGUAGCGGUGCUUGUGUGGGCAGCUAGCGUCGGAGGAGGAGGAGGAAGAGGAGGAGGAGGAGGAGAGAGAGAGAGAGAGAGAGAGAGAGAGAGAGAGAGAGAGAGAGAGAGAGAGAGUAGAGAGAGAGAGAGAGAGNNNNNNNNNNNNNNNNNNNNAGAGAGAGAGAGAUAAGAAGAAGAAGAAGAAGAAGAAGAAGAAGAAAGAGAUAAAAACUGUGUGGAUUUAAUUAAACACAGGGUAAUAACGUCUUUUUCUCAAGAAUCAUUGGAAUGGGCACAAGGAUAAGACUUUAAUUGAAAUGGGUUUUAGUUUUUAAAUAUUUAGGCAUUAGGGCAUUUUCCCUAUUUUAAAAACAAGUUGUUUUAUUUUCUACCUUUAAAUUUAUAUCCAAUAAUGAUUGAUCAUGAUUUUCUUAGUCACUAGAUGAUCAUGUGAACACCAUGCAUCAUAGUAAAUACCCGGCUCAUUUUACUUCACUGUGUUAUCUCUCGACGUCCUAGUCACAUCAAGUGCUUUCAUUCUAUUGAGCAACUAUGCAUCUUGUUUUUGUUGAAUACUGGCAACACAAGUUACACAAAUAGGAUCGUCUAUCAGCAACAACCGAUUUUAUUACGGGACAGCUCAUGAUGUUCAUAUCGAUCUAUUAUGCGCCUUUGGGAUAAGGGCAAUGAAGAUAUGAUUGAGAUCCUACUAGUCCUUUAUGUUCUAGUAGGAAAAGUUUUAGUCUGCGUUGGUGAAUGGAAGCCCGGAGUUGCUCCACGUAUUGCUUGACGGUUCGCAAUAUUUUUUCCAUGACAUUUAAGAUUGCAUUUUGAUGUAACCGUACUCGUUAGAACUUAGAACUACGCCACCAGACUUCUCUUCUAAAAUUAAAAUCCAAAAUCCAUUAUCUUCCUCAUAUAACAUCCGCAGAAUCGGCAGAAAUAUGUAUCCCAUAGUUGGUUGUGUUUCGGUUCAGGGAUAAUGUGUAUGUAGCACAAGAACAUGGUGCUUAUAAGAUUGCUUCAUAAUACAGAGCACUGAACACUCCCUGUCAUACUACUGCUGCAGAGAAUCCAUACUGACUUUUCCUGGGUAUGAAGAAGCUGUAUCAAAUUUCAAGAGAACUCAUCUGUUUCUUGUCUUGACAAACUGUGGUCUUGAUGCCUUCUUCUCCAUCUUUUCCCUCUUCUUUCGUGUCUUUUCAUCCUCCACGCCUCCCUAAUUACAUAAGGUGCUUUACCAAAUCAUACAGAACAUAGAAAAUCUAUAAACUAUUCCGUCAUCCAAAUUCAAGAGCAAAAGAGGGUACCUCUGGACCUUGGGACAUAAAUCCUCUAAAGAAACCAAAUGAUUUGUAUGCUCCAAAACCUGGUAUCUGCAAAAACGAUAAGCAGAAUGUAUCCUAAGACGUCAUUGCCAAAGUCUCUGAUCAAAAUUAAAUUUUCAAACUAAAAACUCCUCCCAUAGGCAUAUGGAACCUUCUCCAAUCCUUCAAAUGUGUCAUAUAUAUAUAUAUAUAUAUAUAUAUAUAUCGNNNNNNNNNNNNNNNNNNNNUUGGUGAUCGUUAAGGCUUUCAAAAGUUCAAUUUAGUUUUAAUGACCUUCAACGGUUUUAGUUUGACAUAAGCUGGACCGUUCAAAAUCAUUAAAACUAAAUCAAACUUUUGAAAGUCUUAACGAUCACCAAAUCAUAUGAAAUUUUGUAGAGGUGAUCUACUCAUAUAGACCUAAGAUAUGAACGGUGGAGAUGUAAAAAUUCAAUUGGAAAGUGGUGUAAUGCCCUAUCCCUAGAAAGUGGCCAAAAAAUAGGGAUCCCUCAAUGGAAGGGGGCUGAUAUAUAUAUAUAUAUAUAUACAUAUAUACACUUCGGUUCAUAUUUCAUCAACCAAUCUUUCCUAACUAUGAUAAUGUUCUAGGACACCUUGUAAAUCCAUCCUAGAACAAAGAAAGUUGCUAAAGACAAACAUCAGUCUGCUUACUCAUCCAUCCACUGUUUGUGGGGCCAAUACCGCACAAUGCCCAAGAGACCGCGCAACAUGCAUGAUAUUGAUAUUACCAACUAAACCAAUUAAUUUUGUAAUAAGUUGUAAAGAAAUUACGUUCUAUUCUUUAAGUUUCCUUUAGCAAGAACAUCAUGAAUUGACAAGUCUUUGACAAAACAUACAAGCAAAAUACUAUCAGAAGCAUGUCAGUGCAGGACAAAAAGAAAAAUGGUUAGUCAGGUCUUACCAGCAAAUACGUGUACCAAAAUUUUCCAGAGAUUAUGGACAUGACUUGCACGAAGCUUGUAAUGUAGAUUACAUCAUGUAAAUAGCUGAACAGUAAGACAACCCAAAAAGUCAAGAUUUUACAACAAAUCAGAUUAAUGUGUGCGCAUAAGCCUGCGUGUGCAAUUUUAUUCGACUUUGUGUGUGUGAGUGUAAGUUGACUACAUAAGUUAAUAAGCUUGGUAUUAUAAACACAAUACAUAUUACAUUUCUAAAUUUUUUAAAGCACCUAGGUUGUUAACUAUUACACGUCAAUAAUGUAGCAUGAGAAAAGAAUGAAGUUCAUGGUCUCUACUAAUUUAUUUGAUAUCUAUCAGAUGAAACACUGUAUCCACGUGCCAAACAAUGAAUCUCUAGAAAAAUAAUAGCUACAGUGCUGAAUGUAAGAGAACUUUCAGUUAAGCACUUAUCAUACAUAAUCAACAGAAUAUGGUAAAGAGAUCAAAAUCCGUGGUCCUUUUUUUAUCUAAUGUAGCAGUGUAUGUGAAGAAUUUUAAAGCUCUUGUAAACUAUAAGAAAUCAUUGAUUGGAAGGACAUACCCACAAACUCCACCAGUGGACAUAUCAAAUCCACCGUCUAGAAGCUCACCAUCAUCAGAAUAAGAAGGUUUUGCCAUUUGGGUGAGUUGUUGAUAAGGAAUAUAAUAAGCUACAGAUGUCAGCAGCAAAGCAACCCAGUUUUUCCAGGUAAAAGUAGAAUGGAAGAUGAGCAUCCUUACUACCACAUAAAUCACCUACAUCAAGUCACCAACCGAGCAUCAACAUCACUCUGCUCACCAUAAGUUUUAACAUAUAUCACUUAUUUAUACUCAACCAAAGUCCCAAAGCUUACAUUGCAGGCCAGAAUCAAGCGACGAAUAUUAGCCAUGUGCCGAGCAUUCUCUUCCUUGCGCUUUUUUGCUCCUUGAUUUGCCAUCUCUCUCUACGCCUCUGGACUUCUCUACCAGAAUCUGACAAUGUAAUAGGAAAACAAUAUCAGAUGGACAAGCUUGACCCCUUAAACUAGGCAGGCUAUGGCUUAGCCCCAAAGCUUAUGAGUUAUGAGAAUAUUUUUUCCUUCAUGAAAUAGACCUUNNNNNNNNNNNNNNNNNNNNNNAAAAUAGAAAUCCGCACCAAACCAUGGUGUGGACGUCCGCAGUUAAGAAGGCCUGUAUAUAUAUAUAUAUAUAGAUAUAUAUAUAACCUGCUAAAUAAUACAAGUAAAUCUAUCCCCAUAAAAUGUCUAUUCAUAUGAUUAUACAAUGACUUAGUAAAACCAAUGGUAGUGUAUUAGAUUUUAACCAACUUGAGAAAGAAAGUAAAUAAAAAGCCCCUACACAGUUUCGGACAUGCUAAUGCAGAAACUAUAGCCGUCACUAUACAAGACAAGGUCAGCACAGAACAAUAGAUGACGAUUAUGGUAUAAUUCCUUCAAAAAGUAAAAUUUAGUUUCUAACAAAAGUAAUGAGAAAAAGUAAAAUUUAGUUUCUAACAUGAUACAGGAAUUUACACAAAGAUUGCAUGACCUCAGAGGUGGCAAAAUAACAUUUUCAGUACAAAAACACUACAGAAAAAGAUAUCCCAAAAACACAAUGCUACACCACAGCGGCUGCUAAGUUAGCAUCAAACGAAACCUAUAUUAUUUAGAUUCUCACAUAGAAAAUCUGAUGUGGCUCCCCAACCCCAAAGUCCUUUACAAGACUCAAGUCUUAACCGUUGGUGAUUUUUGAUUUUACAGAAAGAAAACUAAACCCUCCACAAUCCCGUGUGAGUUUUAUACACAGUUGAGUAACACAGAGAACUAGGUAAGUCCUUGAAACCAACUGAAUUGCCAUCAUAGGGAACCAACAAACAGAACAACUUCUCAUCACCAUAACUUCCAUAUUUCUCAAUCAAUUUAAGCGUGUAAUAUAUUGAUUUUAUACUACUCAAGAAGCCCAACAAGUCUGUGCAAACAGUUCACGAUUUAAGGACUAAUAAGGAUAUUUAAGUUACCAAUAACGAAAAUUUCGACCAAAAUUUAUAAGAAGAGAAAUCCAACCGAACCCAUUCAGUCAACCAAGCAUUCCUAGGAUUCAAAUUCUUAUCAAUAGAAAGUGAAAAUCUCAAUGGCAAACCAACAGCUCUAAGAAUAAUCGAGACAAAGAAAGAGGGAAAGAAAAUAAACGGUAAUCACUGGACUACCAAAUUUUGAAAGUUUUCUCACCUCUAACACCCUGCUCCAAAGACAAGCCUUCAACUUUUCUCCCUUUCUUCCAAAUCGCCGGAGCUCUCCCUAUCCCCUGAAGUAAAUCGGCAAAACAAAGGCUCCCAACAUCACUCAAAACCGCUCAUGGAGUUUUUUUUNUUNNNNNNNNNNNNNNNNNNNNCUCUCUCUCUCUCUCUCUCUCUCUCUCUCUCUCUCUCUCUCUCUCUCUCUCUCUCUCUCUCUCUCUCUCUCUCUCUCUCUCUCUCUCUCUCUCUCUUCGUCUUCCUCCUCCCUCUCUUCUUCGAUCUCGAAUAUCCGACCAUGGCGGCGUCUCAGGCCAACACCAGCUCGACGACGAUAGCUCGGCGCUGCUUGAUAGAUGAUGAGGAAGUAGGCUCAACCUCGACGUCGCCAGAUCGACGACGAAGCCUUAACCUCAACCUCGACGCCGUCGGUUCGACGACGAUGCCUCGACCUCGACGUCGUCGGAUCGACGACUACGCACCUUGACCUCGACGUCUAUUACGUCCAAUUCCAUCAAUGACAACUUCUGAUUUGACCUCGACGGGAUCUCUGAAACCAAAUGGCUCGCCGGCUCAUCCUCGUGGCUCGUCUGGUCCUUGACGGCUAUGAUCGCCUUCCGCCGGCGAUUCGAGAUCCGUAUAGCUUAGUCGCCGCUGCUGACUCGAUGACAAGUCCUGGAUGACGCCGCUUCGAAGAUGUCGCUCUUAUUGGAGGUGACUGUUAUGGUAAAAUUCUAAGUGUAAAUUUGCUACAAUUUGUUUCUUUGGUUUUGAGAAAAUAUAAACAAAGAUUAGGAUGAUGUUUUUUGUUAAUUUGAUAGUGAGUGAGAAAUCAUGCACAUAAUCAUGUUAUGAUAAUGUAGGAGAUGAAUGGAACGAGAUUAAUAAGUAUGUUUCGGCCUCAUUGUAUGAUAGCAUAUUUUGAACAAUGCGAUAGUACAUUUUCAUCAUUGUGAUAGUAUAUUGUCCCCACUAUGAUUGUCUAUUUUUGACACAUUGGUAAUAGCUUUCAUUAUGCUUGGUAGUAGAUUUUGUUGCCGAAAACAUUAGCUAUUGGUUUUGUUUGGAGGUAAUAGUUUUUGUUGAUGGUGGUAGUAGUUUUUGUUGAUGGUGGUAGAAGCUUUUGUUACUUGCGGUAGCGGUAGUAGUUUUUGUUGCUGAUGACAAUAUCUUUUGUGACUUUGUCAGAGGUCAUUGGAAAUCUCACUGUAGUAACUUUUGUGGCUGGGGGUAGUAGCUUUUAUAGUUAGUGAUAGUAGCUUUUUUUGUUGGUGACAGUAACUUUUGUUCUGCUUGGUAGUAGUUUUUCAUAUGCUCGGUAGUAUCUUUUAUAAGUGGUGAUAGUAGCUUUUGUUCUAUCUUGUAGUAGUUUUUCAUUUGCUCGGUAAUAUCUUUAAUAGCUAGUUAUAGUAGCUUUUUUUGUUGGUGACAGUAGUUUUUCAUAUGCUCGGUAGUAUCUUUUAUAGCUGGUGACAAUAUCUUUUGUGACCUCCGGAGGUCAUUGAAAUCUCAACAUAGUAGUUUUUGUUAUGUUCAAUAGUAUUUUUUGUUGCUGGCAAUAGUAUCUUUUGUGACCUCGCCGGAGGUUGCCGGAAAUCACACCAUAGUAGCUUUUAUAGCCGGUGGUAGUAGCUUUUAUAGCCUGUGGUAGUAGCUUUUGUUGCUGGUGACAGUAUCUUUUGCAAUCGUCAGUAACAUUGUCGGAGGUCGGCAGGAAACUUUGUCUGCAGUCGGCUGGAAACUUUGUCGGAGAUCGGCCGGAGACCCGCCGGAGGUUGGCCGGAGAUCUCGCUUGAGGUUGGCCGGAGAUGAUAGUAGGUGUUGACUUUUUACAUUAGUGGCAUUUUUGUAAAUAUAAAAAAGAAAAUCUUUUUUUUUGUUGGAUGGCAGUCUGUAAUUAUGUUGAACUUUAAUACCUAAUACAAAACCUUAUUUAGGCUUGGGUGGACUUAUGUGAGUAAAAAUGUUGGGGUGGACCUAUGUGGGAAAAAAUGUCUCAAAAUGGACUUAUAUAUAAUUAGCCCAAAAUUAAACCUCCCCUCUUUGUAAAGGUACGUGAGUUAUUUAAUAAAAAGUUAAAAAAAAGAGAAAUUAUAAAUACACACCUCUAAUCUCUUAAUACACACCUCUAUUAUUUUAUAUUUCAGAUCAUAUUUAUAUGUAUGUUUAAUUACAAAAACAUUCAUCAAUUACUAAGGAAAAAAAGAAAGAAAAAAAAACUUCAUCUUCCCUAAAACAUAGCUCUCUUCACUAUUACUAUGCAUCAAAAGAAAAGAAAUAAAAAAACCUCUUCUCCAAAAUUCAUCACCUGAAUUUCGACUACUGUCGUAAUCACAUGUACUAUUUGCUGAUUCGUUUGAUUUUUUUUUUAUCAACUUUAGUUUUUAUCUUGCAGACUAAAAACUAGUUUUUAUGCUAUUGUAAUUCUAUAAGUUUCUUAACUUUGAAAAAAUUAUAUAUGCUCAAUAUUUUAUUUUUUUUCAAAUUCUAACUGAUUAAUGUCGUAUUAGAGAUUUGGAGUUCGAAUAUAAUAUUAUUAUUUUGAUUAUAAAUUGAAAAUAUGAAGAAAAAAAUUUCUAACCUGAUCAAAAAACUAACAGAAAAUAAAAGAGAAUACGUAAAGAGAGUUGUGAAUAGUAAAUAUAUAAUAAUUAUAUUAAAUAACAGAUUAUUAUUAGUUUUAGAUACUGAGGGUAUUUUAGGCAGUUUGAGAUGUGUAUUUAGUAUAAUAUUGAAAUGAAAAACUAGAUAGGUAGUGUAUUAAGUAAGGGGUAUGUAUUAAGAGAUUAGGGGUGUGUAUUUAAAAUUACUCUAAAAAAAAAUAAAACUUUUUUGGCUUCUGUUAUAGAUGAUAUUAAUACACUAUUUGUUUUGUUUAAUUUUAUUUAAUUAUAAAGUUACUUGCUUGAUUUACAUAUUGAACGGAGAGAAAAUAUAAGUAGGAUGAUGCCUUAAUUAUGUUGUUUAACCCUUGCAUCUUCUGAUUUGAUAUACAACUCAAAAAGCUAGUAUUAGGAUCAAGAGAAAAUCUUACGUGCGACGGCCGUGCCACGUGGACGGUGCAACUUACCAGUGGCAGGCCGACGCGUGUUUUUAUUUUUAUUUUCAACAGCUCUUCUUCUUCCUUCUGCUCUCUUCUCUGGAGAAACCGAUCUCUUCUCCGGCGAACCGAUCCCCUCUGGCGAAGCCAAUCUCUUCUGCUCUCUUCUCCAGCGAAACCGAUCCCCUCCGGCGAGCCAACGACGGGUGACAAGGAUUCGUGGCAGCGGGUUUUACACGGGUUGGUGGAGGCGUGAGGGAGGCGCGGCUUAACGGCCGGAGGUUUCUGCAAAGUUGUGGCAGGUUGGAGCGGUGAGGGGGCGGCUGGGUAGAGGGAAAGAACACGCCAGAGGGGAUCGGUUUCGCCAGAAAAGAGGAUGCAAGGAAGAAGAAGAGCUGUGAAAAAAAAAAAAACACGCGUCAGCCUGCCACUGGUCGGUCGCACUGUCCAUGUGGUACAGCCGUCGCACGUAAGAUUUUCUCUAGGAUCAAAUGAUUUUGACAAAUCAUGGUGUUGAUGCAGUGGAUUUGGCAUAUGUCUAACUUCUCUCAUGAGUCAUGAAAAAACUUGCUAGUGUAUGUACAUAUCAGCUAGUUAUCCUCUGAUUGACAAAAAAAAAGCUAGUUAUCCUCUGUCUUCACAUUUCCUACUGAAAUGUUUGUCUACCUCCAUACGCUGCUAGAUUUUGAGCAAUUCAACAGCUAAUUUGUUAUCAAAAUAAAGAUCAAGCACAUUUCUAUAAGUCAUAUCAUUCAAAACAAGCACAUUCUUUAUCCUUACAUCAAAAAGUAAAAUCAAGCACUUCAAAUGAGGCUCUUCAACAGAUAGGAUUGCAGGGAAAUACAAAAUAAAAAACUUAGAAAGAGAGGACAUUGCAGGCAAAAAGGAUACCAGAAUCUUUGUUUAACUACCGUUAUUUUUUACUUAAUAUAAAUUCAUAGAAAUCAGAUCGAUACAGAAUCAAUCUGCUCAAUCAAAUGUAAGUUACCAAAUUGCCAAUUGUAGGUCUGAAGUAACACAAUAAUCCAGCUACUCAGUACAAAAUAUGUUCAAGACUAGAUAAAUACAAUAAAUGCUCUUUUUCUUUCCUUGGAAAAAAAAAAAUUAAUGAAAAAGAAAACUAAUAGCAUGAAGAGUAAGGGCUAACUGGCUGUAUACUUUGUGCUGUGUUCAUUGAGCCAUGAUAUGAUGUCAUUGAAAACUUGAACUAUCAUUUCAUCCGGCUCACCCUCCAGAAGGGAAUGAUAUGCAUCCUCGUACAGGAUUAGCUUCUUGUUAGAACUGCUUGCUUUCUCGUAGAGCGCUUUACUUACAGAUGGAUCAGUCACAAUAUCAUCUUCUCCAUGAAGGAUUAAUAAUGGAAGAGAGACUUCUUCUAAUCGGCUUUCUAUCUCUUGGGUUGUAUGGAGCAUUUCUACAGCAGUCUGCAGGCGUGGGUUAUCCCUGUAAGCAAUAACAUUGUAGGCCGUCAGUUCCCGUUUCUUCAAGUCUUUAAAGGCUGCCUCAGCCAGAUUCUUUUGUGGAACCAACUUCUGCUUUGGAAGGAAUUUCGCAACACCAAUUAGGACUUGUGCUAGUAGCCAUGGCGGGGCCAUGUCAUCUGCAAUUCUGCACAUAGGUGCAACUAGGAUGGCACCAUUCCAUCCACUAGGUUGUUUUAGGUGAAUCUUAAGAGCUACAGCUCCGCCCAUGGACUGCCCGAAAAGAAAGCUUGGGAGAGUACUGAACUCAGGUUGCGUUUUGACUUUAGAAAAAUGCUCAAUGACAUCAUCUACGAGCCUUUCAAAGCUAGGAAUAUAACAAUGCAGACCUUCUGAAAGACCAAAUCCAGGGUAGUCCAUUGCAAAAACUCCAUAGCCAAAUGAUGCCAACUUCCUUGCGAUUCCUUCAAAGAAAAACGUGCAAGUAUCCCCAUAACCAUGACAGUAACAAAGUAUUGCUUUGGGCUGAGAUGUCUCUGGAAGCCAACUCUUGGAGAAGAUCUCCAAUCCCCUGGAGUUCACUUCAUAUGACUCUUUCAUUUUAAGUCCAUCAGUUGGUGUCUUGAAUAAUAUAUGAUCAAUUUUAAGCUGAAUGUCCUUAAAAGCUUCACGAACUCUCCUUCUGGCCGGAGCUUCAUCCAUGUUAGUAUCCAGAAGCUUCUGCAAUUUAUCAUCAACACCUGGCAACCUAACUUGGGGUGCCAUUACUUCUAUGCUCUUCUUUCUCUUUGUUGGGGAACAACACUCGGGCCUGAACUCCCUAGAACUCUUUAUUUUUUGGAGGGUUUCGAAAUUCAGUUGGUGUUUAAUCAUGACAGUUAAAAGAAUGACAAUUGUAAUCCGAAACGAGCAUUAAGCAGCAAGUCUUUCCGGGAGGAUGUAGUGAUGGAAGAAUUGGUGAUGAUGGUCAAAGUGCAGCGAGAUUACAGAGGUUGAUCUAAAACUCCUUUUGGGUCUCAAUUCCUGCGGCCUCUUUGGCUAAGCAGCUUGGGACUCAAAAUCUGCAGAAGAAAAAGAAUACAUGUAUAUAUGUGAAUGCCCAAAGAUAUAGGAAGAAAUAAACAGUGCAAGAUAUUUAACUAUUCCAGUAUAUAUAUAUGUUUUCCUAUUUGAUGCUUCAAAUGGUGCUCUUGUACAAGCAUCUACAUGUUUGCAUUAUUCUUCAAUUUUCUUAACAGUGACCAAAUUAGCCGGAGGACUACUGUAGCACAUUUCAGGGACUUUGUUUAUGGAACAAAUGUGAUUAUACACCAUAGGUAUUCCUACAGAUUGACUCAAACCAAAGAAGAUACAACUCUCAGAAAUUAAAUUCUACACUUCAAAAUCCCACUUCACAGUUUGUCCCUUACAUCAUGUAAGGCUAUCGGACAUCAAAACCUUAAGUUAUUUAGGGAACACACAAACAAUGUAUAUCGAUUCAAUAUUUUCCCUGCCAGACAAUCAAAAAUGUAAACAUAUAGGUACACAACCAUGUACCUUGCAAAUAACAAAUAAGUGGAAAAUGGAGAUGGGGAGCUGAACCCAAAACCUCCUGCAACUAUCACUUUCAGUCUUGUCUUCUUUUCUUUUAACUUUUGACUUUGACAAGAAUUGAAGUUUUAUCACCGAAAACAACACUAUAAUGAACUAGAGGACAGGACGUGCACUUUCACAGCACCAGAGAAAAGAAAAGCUCUAAUAAGCCUAAAGUAUAUAACUGUUUAAAGAACGAAUUUUCAAGGUAAUAACACAAACUUGAUAAGGAAUAGUAUCUGAAUUCCACAAUGAGUGAUUCCGACAAACCACCCCCCCCCCCCCCCCCCAACUCUAUAUUUUUAAAUUUCAAUACAUCUAUAUAACCCGGAAUUACUGCCAACAUUUCUUCAGCCCCAAAAGGGUUUUGACUUUCUUUCCUCCAUCUAAACCCCAGAACUGAAACAGUAUCCCCUGGCAUGCAAGGACUACGCUAAAGGUAUGGCCUACAGUGGAAUAUUGAACGAGCAAGCAUUUCUUUAGGAGGAACCUUGGUGUCCAAAUUUGAUUAAUAAAAUAUUUGUGAACUCAUAUUUAUUGUAAGGGUAACUGUUAAAAGACUUUCUCUAAAUGCCAAGACCCUAUCAUCUCCCCAGAAGGAAACUAGGUGCACCAUCUAGCUUUAAUGACAGAGAAGGAAACUUUCCAUUUCCAAAAUCUUUGAGAUUCCUAAAUCCCAAGUUUUGGAAAUAAGCAAAAACACCACUUAUUCCUUAUCACUCUAUGCCACAAGGAAUCUGGUUCCAAUUGAUAUCUCCACAACCACUUCCCAAGCUAGGUGUAAUAAUUAAUUUCAAUAAAGAUAUUAUUUCCAAUGUCUUUCAAGAAAGGUCUUGAGUUCUCUACAAGUUCCCAAGGAAGGCCUUAUAAACUUGUCACCAAGGGGAAGGGCCUGAACCCCCAUACUUUAAUAAACUCUGAUCUUCUUUGAAAUCAACCAGAUAUAUGUUUUGUUUAUCAAUGCAUUGAUAAUCUUAUAAUCAACAAUGUCAUAAGCUGGGAAAUUAAGUUUAUACUUGAUACUACUGAGAGUAAGUCUCUCCUUCAUUUACUGACAGUAAAUAGAAGUGGGAAAGAAACACACAUGGUUCAAUGGUUACAUAACAGCGAAGGUCAACUAUAUUGUGGGUUUCUAUGAGCUUGCAGUUCACUAUGAUAGCACCAAAUAGAAACUUUACAGUGACAACUCAGAAUAAGACAUAUUUUGACUUGAAGUAAUCACCUAGCACAAGCAUGGUAUUAGUAUACAGCUUAAACAAUAGCAUAUAUAAAAGGAAAGAAAAAAGCAAAAACAAAAAACCAUAAAAUAUGCAUUUCCUCCCAACCACAAGAAAGAAUUUACACAAUAGGCACAUACAUGUCUGAAAGUAAUGAGAAUGAUCAGUUCUGGAGAUAGACAAGUCACAAAUGGAAUACGAAAGCGAUUCAUUACCUUCUCCGUUAAUAGCCUCCUCCUUCUUUAUGAUCUGAUCUGUUGAGAGAUACUUGAACUUGGUCAAGGUCAGGCACACGAUGUUGCUCUAACUCAAUCUCCAAAUUGAUAAUGAGAAUCAAAAGCUAAAAGUAGUACAGCUCCAGGCAUCAUUCAUAAGAAAACAAAACCUAUUCGCAAUAAAAAUCAGAACAAUAAUCAUCAGAAACCAGCCUUGACAUUCAACAUAUCCCUUACUCUUGACAAGAAUCUUCUAUCUGUAAGGAGACUGAUUUCGCACAUGUUUUGCAUUCUAAACCUUAUGCUGUUUAGGCUUCUAAUCUCAGAAACGAAUAAAAAACAGAACAAAAGAAUCAAACUUGAACUCCAUCUGUCUCAUCUAACAAAACUUAUCUGGGUCCUUCAGAUUAUACUAGUUUAUGUUUGUCAUCUUCGCAAAAUUGUUUCUAGUUACUUUCAUCCUGUGAUUCAUCUAGGCUUCAAGUUAACAUCAAUAGAAUUUAUGGUCUCUUCUUUUAAAAACCAAGUCCUAAGAAAAGACUUGCGAGAUCUUAAUGUCAAAAAUCAUCUCAAUCCUUCUACUGCCAGUCAUCGUCAGUAGAAUAGUAGAAUGCAAACAACAAAUUCACAACGUUUUUUCAUGUCCCAUAAUUUCUUAGCCACCAAACAAAACCAAAUUCACAUUUAGACAACAAACCAUAACUCCGAAGAACUCUCAAAUCUGAUCAACUCAUCUAUGAGACGGGUCUUAAUAGACAUGUUCAAAGGAAAAUAAUUUCACUUCAGCUGAGUUUAACUGAUUUGAAUUAGGCUCUGUCUCAACCUAUACAAUUGAACGAGGAAAAGCUGUGAUUUGACUAUUUCUGGGGAAGGCCACAGAUUCAAGAGACCAAAUGGAAACAAAAAGGUGAUCACUUACAGAACAACCGAACAGUUUGAGUUGAUGAUCGGCGUCUGGAAUUGAAUGAAGUGAAGAAGCUUUCGGAUGUAGUUGGGUCCGAGACAAAAGCUUUCUGUUUUGCUUCUUCUUCUUCUUCUGGUUUGUUUUUAUGUUUUUGUUUUGAGCGCAAAUGCGACCAAAACAGAAAGUUUGAGCGCAUAUGUCACCAUACAAUUCGUACACCUUAAUAGAAACCAGACAAAAAUGGAACGCGCCCCACGCGCCAAGAGUUUGGCGUUCUGGGCUCUAGUCGGUGGAUUGCUUGGUGGCCGCCAUGGCCAAUUUCAUGGAUUUCAUUCCUAUCCUUGAUCUGCAUUUGGCGUUCGCGGCAUCGGAUGACGAAUCUCACAGCUUGCUAUUGGUCUUCUCCUGCACCCUUGGAAUGGGUGACCCUGGUGUUUCAAAACUUAGUGUCUUUCGCUUUGUGUUCUUACGGCAACGAGUACGUAUUUCCUACUAUUAGACCUUUGCUCUUUCAACUUAUUUGCUAUUACAUCUUUGCAUGUUGCAGUUUACAAAAGGUAAGUGGGGUUUCUGCUUAUUUACUAGACCCUUCAAAUCGUAAUCUUAAUCUCGUGGAAACAAUGGUGAGUGUUGUUACGGGUUGUCUUGAUCUCCAGUGAUAUGUGAUUGGUGACUGUUUUCUAGAAAUCGUGCUUGAUAAGCUGUCUGGGGGUUUCAAUUGGAACCCAAUUAAGAGGACUAUGAACUUGCCAGGUGUUUUGAUUAAAGCUCUAGGAAUUGCUGUUGACCACAGCUCUCAGUCUAAUAAUAAUCUUAUUUCAUGAAGAUUUGUACUUGGAAUAGCCGGGGAAGUUCCUGGUCAAACAAAUUUCUAUGCCUCUAUUUUAGAUAUUGAUGUCCUCUGUAUCUUGGAUACUAGGGCCUCUACAGGUAUAAUUAUUAAGACCAUGAAACUUCCUUUUGAUACUCAAUAUGUUAUUCCUGCAAGAGGGCAAUGUGGUGGCCUCCUUUUACUCUGGAAAUCUAGGAUGGUUAACAUUGAUAUUAUCAUGCCUCAUGAUCGUUUUAUUCAUUGCAUGAUCACUGAGAUUGCUACCAACAAUUCCUUGUAUACUACCUUUGUGUAUAUUUUUCCUCAAAAGGAAAAACAAACAGGUCUUUGGAAUGAAAUUCUAGCCAUGAAGCCUGUGAAUGAUGAACCCUGGUUAAUUAUGGGUGAUUUUAAUAACAUUAUUAGUCUCAAUGAAAAAUCUGGUGCUAACCAGUCGGUUACGAACCACAUGAUUAAUUUUACAGUUUUCCUAAAUAAAAUGUUUGUUCUUUAGAUGCCUCUGGUGUUCCUUUUACUUGGUCAAAUUGUCAUAAGGACAAUACAAUUAUUUAUGAAAGAUUGGACCGAGUGCAAAUGCAGGUUUGAUUAAUCUGUUUCCGGAUAUGACUUUAGUUAAUUAUCCCAUCAAUUCUUCUGAUCAUGGUCCAAUUUGCCUAAAUCUUUAUUCAAGGUCCUGAAAUUUUCAUAAACCCUUCAGGUUUGAGGCUAUGUGGUUAUCCCACAAUGAUUUCAAGAGGUUAACGACUGAAAUUUGGGUCAGAACCUUGACAGUGACCCUUUAAAGAACUUUUUGGCGAUUUCUAGUAGUUAUGCCAAGGUUUUGAAAACUUGGAAUAAAAAUGUUUUUGGAGACUUGUUCAAAAAACUUAAGGAUCUUCAAGAAGAGAGUAGUUUGAUUCAACAACAACUUAUGAACUCUCCUUUUUCUGUUGUUUUGCAGGAGAAAAAUGCUAAAGUUAAAUCACGAAUUGCUUAAGAUGUACAGUGAUGAGGAACUUUACUGGGCUCAAAAAGCAAGAGCUAAUUGGCUUAGCUUGGGAGAUAAAAAUACUAUAUUCUUUCAGACUCGAGCUAAUAUAAGGAAGAAAAAGACUUUUGUUACAAAAGUUAAAGAUGAGUCUGGUGUUUGGUUAAAUAGUCAAGAACAUAUUGCUAAAUAUUUUGUGCAUAACUUUAAAAGGAGAUUCUCCUUAGAUCUUUGUCCGAAUAUGAACUCUAUGAUGACUUUUUUGGAUUGUUUGUCUCCUGGUAUCUCUACUGAUGAUAACUCCUUGCUUACUCAACAGGUGAAUGACACUGAAAUUUUGGAAGCUUUAAAUUCAAUUGGCCCCUUGAAAGCACCUGGACGGCUGGACCGGAUGGACUACAUGCCAUAUUCUACCAAAAGUGCUGGACUGAGGUAAAAAGCUGCAUCAUUCCUUUGAUUAAAGGUUUCUUCCAGCAUGGUCUGAACAUUGAGCUGUUAAAUCAUACCAAUAUUGCUUUGAUUCCUAAAAAAGAUAAUCCUGAAACUGCGGCUGAUUUUAGACCUACUAGCUUGUGUAAUGUUUGUUACAAGAUCAUUACCAAAAUUUUAGUUAAGAGACUUAGACCUCUUCUGGAAAAGUGUAUUUCUAAAAACCAAGGUGCCUUUGCACCAGGAAGAUCCAUUCAGGAUAACAUUUAAAUUGCUCAUGAGUUGUUCUCAGACUUUCAGCGAAAAAAAGGGAACUUAGGUGCAAUGGCAGUCAAACUUGACCUUGAGAAAGCUUAUGAUUUCUUAAAUUGGAAUUAUAUCGAGGCUUGUCUCCAUAAAUUUGGGUUCAAUACACAUUGGAUUUCUCUGAUAACGAAAUGUAUCACUACUGCUUCUUUUUCUAUAUUGGUUAAUGGCAAGUCUGAAGAUUGGUUUAAACCUUCAAGAGGAAUCAGACAAGGUGAUCCCUUAUCCCCUUGUAUCUUUAUCUUAGCUAUGGAACCCCUCAUUCGACACCUAAAUAGUUUAUCAACCAGAAGUAAAACCCAUGUUGGUAUGCUUUCUUCCUGGCUAGGUUUUAGGAUUUCAAACCUAAUGUUUGCUGAUGACUGCCUUAUUUUUGGGAAAGCUUCUCCCAAAGCCGCUAGAAAUAUUCUUACUGUUUUGAAUAAUUUCUCUGCUGCCUCUGGUCAGAAAAUAAACUUUGACAAGUCUUCUUUGUAUUUCUCUCCAAAGGUCAGUAAUGUGACCAAGGUUAAUAUAGUUAGUAUAUUAGCUAUACAACAGAAAGCUACCGUAGGCAAGUAUCUUGGCAUUCACAAUGUGAUUUUCUGGAAAGACCCUUCAAAUGCAAAGGAACUUAUGCUCAGAAUUUCAAAAAAGUUAGCAGGUUGGAAAAAAGGUACUCUUUCUAGAGCAGGCAGAUCGACUCUUAUUAAAUCUAAUUUGUCGGGCAUGCCUAUUAAUGUUAUAUCUUGUUUUAAAUGCUCUCCUAAAAUUACAAAUGCUAUUGAUAAGGAAGCUAGAAAUUUUUUCUGGAAUUGCAAUGGGAGUCCUCCUGUGGCUUGGAGCCAAAUUUGCUGCCCUAAACAUGUGGGUGGACUUGGCAUUAGACCAAGUGCUUACUUUAAUAAUGCUGCUAUUGCCAAACUUGGCUGGAAAAUUAGUAAGGAACCAGAAAAUUGGUGGGCUCAGAUUAUGAGGAAAAAAUAUUUGAGAAAGGUGAAUUUCUUUCAAGCAAAAAAGAAGCAAGCUAGCUCUUUGGCUUGGAAGGGAAUCCUUGAUUGCAGAGAUCUUCUUACUCAAGGGUUGAGAUGGACUGUUGGCAAUGGAAGAAGUAUCAACUUCUGGACCUUAAAUUGGGUUUUCCCUUUUCCUCUAAGUAAUCUUCUCAAUGAUAGUCAAAAAGCUAGUAUUUCUGUUGCCGAUUUUAUGACUAACAAGUGUUGGAAUAAGCAAAAACUCUUGCAGGUACUAGAUCAUAGCAUUGUAAACUAGAUAUUGGGCAUUCCUAUUCCUGUGUGUGAUCCGGAAGAUGAACUUAUUUGGGGACCCUCUUCUAAUGGAAAUUUCUCAAUCAAAACAGCAACUUGGUUACAAGGUAAGGAUCAAAAUGUUCAUGCUAAUGCAGAUCUUUUAAGGAAAAUGUGGUGAUCGAUUAUUCCACCAAAAGUAAAAAUAUUUAGUUGGCUUCUCUUAAGAGGCAGAUUGAAAACUAAGGAUAGACUUUCAAGGUUCAGCUACAUCAAUAAUAAUUCUUGUCCGCUUUGCAAUAACGAUAAUGAAACUGCUGAUCAUAUUUUUGGUUGUUGUGUUUUCUCACAAGAUGUCUGGAGAAUUGCAGGCAUUGAUAAUCUAGUUGACUAGAGCAAUGGAAUUUUGCAUAAUAUGAGAAGCCUUUCUGGCAAUAAUCCCUAUGAUAAAGAUUUAUUUGCCAAACUUCUUCUUUGUUGGCAAAUAUGGAAAAGAAGAAAUGAUUGCGUUUUUAGAAACUUAACUCCCAAGUCUUUUGAUACAGUUCAAGUGGCUCUUCAUUACUUACAUUCCUACAGGAACCAUAAUUCGGGGCUUGUUGGAUUUUCUACUCAAAACCCUCUUGCCAUAAUUAAAUGGCAUCCACCACCCCCGAAUUUUUGCAAAUUAAACUUUGAUGGCUCUGUUAACCAUAUGAACUCGGCUGCUACUGGCUUUAUUAUCAUAGAUGAUAAAGGUCAGUUUGUAGUUGCCGGUGUGAAAAGAGUUGGUUCCUCAAGUAUUCCAACAGUUGAAGUUGCUCCUUUAAGAGAAGGACUUCUAAAAAGCAAGAGAGAAGCACAUCAAGAAGGUAAAUGGUAGAAGGAGACUCAAAGUUGGUGAUUGACUGCAUUAAUGGCACUUGUGCUACCCUUUGGAGACUCAAGACAAUGGUAGAAAACAUUAAGCAAAUAUGCGAAUGUUUUGAGAGCUGCUAUUUUCAACAUGUUUUUCGAGAAGCUAACUUCCCGGUGGAUGCCUUUGCAAACUUGGGUACAUAAGUAACAUGGAUAUUGACUUGGAAGGAUCUUGUCCUCUUCAAAUUAGAAAUGCUUUAUUGUUUGACCGUUUAGGGUCAUGUUGUACUCGAGGUUCUAUUUUGUAAUUUACUUUUCGUAUCAAAAACAACAAAAAAACAAUUCAUACACCUUAUAUUCAACUCUAGGUUUUUUUUUUUUAUUAUCAUUAAAUAAAGAAUAAGAGAGAUAAGUCAUCCUUGACAUAUCAUCACGAGUAAGACUAAUUCUUAGUAAAGUUUCGAAAAUUCUUCUAUACACCAUAGUAUACAUGCACGGUUUCAGCAACAUUUAUCAAGUAAUUUGUGUUCUUGAUUUUUAUAGUAAACAUCUUUAGUAGUCUUCUUGAUGUUAUCUAUUGGUGUUUGAUAAAGCAAGUAUUAUUGUUGCAGCAACAUGGCUUCUAAAGUAUUAUUCUUACUUUAUCAAUCACUGUAGCACUACAGCAUAGCUUAGCAGCAUGUUGUAUAUGAAUUUGUCCUACUGUUCUCAAUUUUUGUUGGAUUCAAAUAGUGCCUUGAAUCCUCUAUAAAUACAUCAAUCUAAAUCAACAUACAUGUGAGACAAAAAGAGAGAAACCCCCUCAAACCCUAGCGUUGCUGCGAUCAACUUUCUCCUCUCUCAUUCAUAAUCGCUAUUAUGUCCUCCAUUGACACCGUCACAGCGUCCUUCGCCGCCUCCUUGGCUUUGGCUAACGGUGGAAAAGUGCCAGAUUUGGGGAAGAUAGGAGGAGGUCCUGUGAGACAUUCAUCCCAAUCUUUUCUUCUUGCUAAGCCACUCACGUUGUGUUGUGGAUCCAGAAGAUUCAAGUCGCACUUUGGCCGUGCUUGGGUGGUGCAGUGGAAUUUCUGAAUUCAGGAGAGCGUGAUCUCCUCCUCGUCUCCUUCGAAUCUGAGAAGGAUCGAAAAAAAGUUCUAAAGGGUGGCGCAUGGUGCUUUGACCACGUACGUGUUUGUCUUGAGGUGUAUGAUGGGAUUACUCCUAUGGCCGACGUUCUUAUACGUCAUGUGAGGAUGUGGGUGAUCGUCUCUUUGAUCCCCCCUCGGUACGAGGAGUGUGAUAACCUUCGUUUGAUUGGUAACCUUCUUGGAGGAUACUUGGAUUAUGAUCAUACAAUUCAAAAGGGAGUGAUGAAGAUCUUGUUUACCCACGACAUCUAUAAACCAGUUCUUUUAGAGAGGCAGGUUCAUCUGGAUCUAAGGGUGGAGCCGAUGUUAAAGUUUGAUUUUGUACAUCUUCUGGGUAGAUGUUAUGUCUGCAAUAUGAUCACACGUGCUGGAGAAAAGUGUGAUGGAACUCAUACCAUCUUAGGUACAUCCAAAGGCAUUAAUUUUGGUGCUCAGCCAAAACUAGGUUAUGCCUUUUUGGCAAAGCCCAUCGCUGGUGUGGCUAUCAAUCCAGCGCCGGUGGUUUCCUCAUCUUUGGUAGUGAAGAGAAAGCAUGUGGUACAUUGACUGGAGCAUACUGAAGCAUCAGAAAUUGAUGAAUCUGGUCUUCGACGUAUGGGCUCUUCUUCGGGGUCUGGUAACUCUACUCUUGAGAAUGAGGUUGCCUCCGAAUUAGAGACAUCUCCUAUUGUGUUAGAAGCUGUUGUUGGGAAAGAUGUGGUAUUUUCUACUACUCCCUCAAAGAAAUGAGGACGUAGUGGGGGUUGCUUUCCCUUCCCAAAGAAAAUCAUCAAGGCUAUUCUGGGCGGUAAACUUAUCAAACUACAAAUUGAAUCUUUAGGUUUGGUCGACACAAGUGGGAAUGAUGAGCCUCUUGUGACCCUGAAGAAGAAGUUGGGUGGUCGUCUGGGUAGCAGGAAUAAGGAAUCUCGGUCUACCAAAAAGACAGAGGCUCCUCUGCAUAUUACUUACCUGAUUGCUGCCAAGGUGGGUGACAAGGCAAGCCCUAAUGCCAAGGGCAAGGGCAAGACUUAGAAUUUGGGUUGCCCUUAGCCCGAGCAUCAGAGGUAGAUUUACUACUUAUUUCUUAAGCUUAUUAUGUCUAUAUUAAUUGAGGUCUUAGGCAGCUAAUAUUCUGUUCGAAGGACUUAGGUAGUCAGUUUUAAUUCUUUUGCUUCAGGCUCUCUUUGAGCCUAUGUGUAAUCAGUAAAGGUACCUAUCUUGGUGCUUGUAAGCCUCCCUUAACAUACUCUGUGGAUGAUGACAUUUUGAUGUAUGUGCAUUUUGGCCAUUGAUUAAGCAAUAUAAUUUAUCCUUUUUUUACAAAAAAAAAAACAACAUACAUGUGAGACCUGUAAGUUUAAUGAACUAGCUUAGGAAAUUACCCUUAAGUCAAAACUGCACAUUCCCUUUUUCUCUUAUUCUAUCUAAUAUAUUUCUUCAACUUCAUUGACAAAAAAGGUUAGCUUGAGUCUCUUUUAUUUAUUCCAAAUGUCAGUUCAAACAAGGAGUCAAGGACUUAUAUAUCCUAUUAGAAAUCACAUUAUGGGGCAGAACCUGACUAGCUAUAACGUGGUUGUGAACGCAGCUUAUAAGCUGUUCCAAGACUAUCUGAAUUCCAAGAAAGGGCGACAUGGUGCUUCAAGUGAUUCAAAAGAAUCAGGGGGAAAUAUAACAAAGAAGAACCUGAAGAGAAUACAAGGGGAAAACAACAGAUCAUUGGGCCUUUUGCUACCAUUGUGGAGAAGUUGGACAUGUCAAAACAAAGUGUCCUCAUAGAGAAGUUUCUGGAUCAGUAGCUACGCAUCAAAACUGACCACCAAGGCCUGCAAAACAGUGAGACAACACAGCAGAAUAUGCAACAACCACAAAGAGGAACUUUUCGCACGGCAAAUAAGGGAAAUCGUUGCCGCGGCGCUGGACAUGGCCAAUAUUACUCGUGGAGGAAGAGUCUUUGCAGUGACAAGACACAAGGAAGAAGAUCCAAAUAUUACACUUGAGGUACUAAUCUUUUAUCUCUUGAAACUAGUCUUAAUAGAUACUGGUGCAUCACACUCCUUUAUUUCAACUUACUUUGCUGAAUUAAAUCUAGAAUCUCAAAUAUUAGCUGAACCCUUGCAUCUAAAAACACCCUUAGGGGAGGGAGCACUAGUGGUAAUGAAUUGGUUGCGAGUACAUCGUUCCCUAAUUGAUUGUGAUAGAAGAGAAAGAGUAAAACCAUCAGAAGGAGGAGACUUAGUUAUAUGACUUGAUGAGUCUGUUAUAUUGAAGCAUUGCUUUUAGAAUAAGAGUGUUGUUGUGUUAUGGUCUUGGAAAAAUUUCAGUUUACUACCCUGAACUUUAGGUUUAAAAUCAGUCUGAUACCUCAUCUUUUUUUAAUCAGUUUCAUACCUAAACUUUUAAAAUGACAUCAAUCUCGACCAA
rnacentral:lncRNA from 1 species